UGCCAGUCUUGGAGAAAGAUGACAUGAGGAC
rnacentral:piRNA from 1 species